GCGGCCGGCGCGGCGGCGCCCGCUGAGCCGUGCGGGCACGGCACGGCACAGCCUCGGGUAGGACGGCACGGCACGGCACGGCACAGCAUAGGGUAGGACGGCACGGCACGGCAGAGCGGCUGACUACUUGAAGGUGGCAGGUCUGGGUCUUCUCAUCCCGUGCCUCUCGCAAAAUAAAAGGAAGGGGAAAGAUAUCACUGGUGUGUCUCUGAUAAGGUCUGAGAAAACCUAG
rnacentral:lncRNA from 1 species